rnacentral:rRNA from 1 species
GAUGAACGCUGGCGGCGUGCCUAAUACAUGCAAGUCGAGCGAACAGACGAGGAGCUUGCUCCUCUGACGUUACCGGCGGACGGGUGAGUAACACGUAGAUAACCUACCUAUAAGACUGGGAUAACUUCGGGAAACCGGAGCUAAUACCGGAUAAUAUAUUGAACCGCAUGGUUCUAUAGUGAAAGACGGUUUUGCUGUCACUUAUAGAUGGAUCCGCGCCGCAUUAGCUAGUUGGUAAGGUAACGGCUUACCAAGGCAACGAUGCGUAGCCGACCUGAGAGGGUGAUCGGUCACACUGGAACUGAGACACGGUCCAGACUCCUACGGGAGGCAGCAGUAGGGAAUCUUCGGCAAUGGGCGAAAGCCUGACGGAGCAACGCCGCGUGAGUGAAGAAGGUCUUCGGAUUGUAAAGCUCUGUUAUUAGGGAAGAACAAAUGUGUAAGAAACUAUUCACGUCUUGACGGUACCUAAUCAGAAAGCCACGGCUAACUACGUG